UGUAGGUGCCAGCUGAAUUGGUUCCUGGUGAGGGCCCUCUGCCUGGCUUGCAGAUAGCCACCUUCUUGCUGUAUCUUUACAUGGAGAGAGAGAGAGGGCUCUGGUUUCUUUCUCUUCUUAUAAGGACACUAAUUCUAUAGGGAGGGCUGCAUCUUAAUGACCUCAUCUAAAGUAAUUACCUCCUACC